GACGAACGCUGGCGGCGUGCUUAACACAUGCAAGUCGAACGGAAAGGCCCCUUUGGGGGUACUCGCGUGGCGAACGGGUGAGUAACACGUGCGUAACCUGCCCUUGACUUCGGGAUAACUUCAGGAAACUGGGGCUAAUACCGGAUAGGAAUCCUUGCUGCCUGGUGGGGGUUGGAAAGCUUCGGCGGUUUUGGGUGGACUCGCGGCUUAAUAGUUUGGUGGUGGGGUAGUGGCUUACCAAGGGUUUGUAGGGUAGGCGGCCUGAGAGGGCGACCGGCCACAUUGGGACUGGGAUACGGCCCAGACGCCUACGGGAGGCAGCAGGUGGGAAUAUUGCACAAUGGGCGGAAGCCUGAUGCAGCAACGCCGCGUGCGGGAUGACGGCCUUCGGGUUGUAAACCGCUUUCAGCAGGGGCGAAGCUUGUGGUGACGGUACCUGCAGAAGAAGCACCGGCUAACUACGUG
rnacentral:rRNA from 1 species